rnacentral:lncRNA from 1 species
AAAAUCUGUAUGAUUAUGACCUUUUAGCAAUUUGGUAUGAAUUUAUCACUUUGAGCUCUCUAUUAUAAGAAGGUCAAAUUGCACAAUCUUCUCUUGAUCAGGUCACCAGUGUGUGGAAGAUGAUGAGAUGAUGGAAAAAUCAAAAUGGAACGAGGAGAAUUCAUAUGUUAUUUACUUCCUGGACCUUUUUUCAUGGGAUAUCUAUAAGACAUCUUCCAGAAAAUAUCUUAUAAAAUACAGGUUUGAGAAAAAUGAUUUAUUGGAAAAAGCACUGGGCUUUUCAUAUUCCAGUCCUGCUACUGAGAUAGGAACAGAAGUACAGCUUGCUACUGGAUAAGAGCACCACCUACUUCGACGAGAGAGGGGAGAUGGCUGAUUUUCCCUCUGCCGGGGGUCCCACUAAAAGAUCCGCUGUCUGCAAGCUGGAGACCCAAGAAAGACAGAAGUGUAUUUCCAGUUCAAGUUCUACAGCCUGAGAACCAACUAAAGUACUGAUAGUGUAAGUCCCCAUCAGAGAACAGAAGAAACCCAAUGUCCCAGCUCAAGUAGUCAGGCAGAGACAGCAAAUUCUACCUCCUCCAUGUUUUUUUCUCUUAG